rnacentral:sRNA from 1 species
CUGAUGUGUUUACAAUUUAGGUCGCCCGC